rnacentral:rRNA from 1 species
CCUACGGGUGGCAGCAGUGAGGAAUAUUGGUCAAUGGGGGAAACCCUGAACCAGCCACGCCGCGUGAGGGAAGACGGUCUUCGGAUUGUAAACCUCUGUCCACUGUGAAGAAAAUGACGGUAGCUGAGGAGGAAGCUCCGGCUAACUACGUGCCAGCAGCCGCGGUAAUACGUAGGGAGCAAGCGUUGUCCGGAUUUACUGGGUGUAAAGGGUGCGUAGGCGGCUGUGCAAGUCAGAAGUGAAAUGCUGGGGCUUAACCCGCGAACUGCUGUUGAAACUGUAGGGCUUGAGUGAAGUAGAGGUAGGCGGAAUUCCUGGUGUAGCGGUGAAAUGCGUAGAGAUCAGGAGGAACACCAGUGGCGAAGGCGGCCUACUGGACUUUAACUGACGCUGAGGCACGAAAGCGUGGGUAGCAAACAGGAUUAGAUACCCCAGUAGUC